rfam:Nitrolancea hollandica Lb, WGS project CAGS01000000 data, contig: 00057-1568
AAUUGACGAGGCGGCAAUGGGUGCCGGCCGCUCGUUGGCCGGUCCACACGGGGGAACACCGGUGUAAGUCCGGGGCUGUGCCGCAACUGUAACGUCACCACUGGUGGCGAAGCCAGAUUACCCGCUAUUGCCGCGUCCGAACC